UUUAAAGAGUUUUCUGAGCAGUUCAGCCAGUUUACCUACUAUACAAUUAAAAUUCUUGGCUUCUGUUCUAUAGAAUGCAGGGUCUAAAGUAAAACAAGCAAAAUAUUCUGGAAGAAGUAUAAAUCCUUUUUGGUAGGGAUAUAUAAAAACUUAGAGGAAUUCUGAAGCUGCUGAUCAUAUAAGGUGAAAUUCAUGGAGUCUGUUUUCCCUCUUAGUUGUAUGGCAGCUUUUGUGAAAUGAAGAGUGCAUUAGUGUAGUUUAUCACUAGGCACUAACUGGUGGGUGCAAAAAGCUUGAAUGUUAAAAUGAGCAGUUGUGGAUGAAGAAGUACUGCAGCUGUUGCACUGUAUGGUAUCUGCACCCAGCAGCAUUCUUCUGAUGGGAUGUUCAAAAAACAGUGCUACAGUAGUUCAGCAUUUGGCAUCGUUGGUUUUUGUUCUGCUGUGUCUGUUAAACCUGGUAUUUUUGCUGAUACAGUCUUUGUCCUCUUCAGGGAUUUGAAUGUAUUUGCUUUCUAUUUUCAUGUUCCAGUGUGAGCACUGGAUAGUGGCCUCUGAAACUUGGCAAGUGCAUUCAGUUUCUUCUUUUUCACAGGUGCUUUAAGGUACAGAACAAAGUGAACUUUGCUGUGUUAAAAGGAUGAGCUGUGGAAGAUGGUAACAACCUGUUUGAUAGUGUCUGCUACCAAGUCCCUGCAUGUCAGAGGGCUGAGAAACACCACCUGAGUGCCACCAAAGUGAGUCUGAAGGUCCUGGUGAUGUUACUGCAAGGAACUGCACAGCUCUUCCAAGAAAGAACCUUAUCUAUCUUGAGUGUUUACUGCAGUUAACUUAAAAUUAAACAUUCAUUUUAACUUCCCUUGCUGCUUUGUAAAUUGCAGUAGUGUGUGUUGUUGGAAACCAGUUCAGAAGCACAGGGAGCCUUUGCCCUUACCCAUUCAGUUGUGACUUGCCUGUUUUGCCCUCCUGGGAGAUCUGGCAAAGCUGCCUGCUUUGUGCUGCAGAAGAGCUAACUCACUAAGCUGAGUGUAUUGAGUUGUGAUUUGACUGGAAAAGGCUUCACCAGCUGUUUUCCCUCACUUCCUAUCACUGAACUCAACUGUACUAAA